AUUGAACGCUGGCGGCAUGCUUUACACAUGCAAGUCGAACGGCAGCGCGGGCUUCGGCCUGGCGGCGAGUGGCGAACGGGUGAGUAAUGCAUCGGAACGUGCCCAGUAGUGGGGGAUAGCCCUGCGAAAGCCGGAUUAAUACCGCAUACGACCUGAGGGUGAAAGCGGGGGACCGAAAGGCCUCGCGCUAUUGGUGCGGCCGAUGUCGGAUUAGCUAGUUGGUGGAGUAAAGGCUUACCAAGGCGACGAUCCGUAGCUGGUCUGAGAGGACGACCAGCCACACUGGGACUGAGACACGGCCCAGACUCCUACGGGAGGCAGCAGUGGGGAAUUUUGGACAAUGGGGGCAACCCUGAUCCAGCCAUGCCGCGUGCGGGAAGAAGGCCUUCGGGUUGUAAACAGCUGUUGUUCGGGAAGAAAUCCUCUGGGAUAAUACCCCGGGGGGAUGACGGUACCGGAAGAAUAAGCACCGGCUAACUACGUG
rnacentral:rRNA from 1 species